rnacentral:rRNA from 1 species
UACGUAGGGUCCGAGCGUUAAUCGGAAUUACUGGGCGUAAAGCGUGCGCAGGCGGUUUUGUAAGCCAGAUGUGAAAUCCCCGGGCUCAACCUGGGAACUGCAUUUGGGACUGCAAGGCUUGAGUACGGCAGAGGGGGAUGGAAUUCCGCGUGUAGCAGUGAAAUGCGUAGAUAUGCGGAGGAACACCGAUGGCGAAGGCAAUCCCCUGGGCCUGUACUGACGCUCAUGCACGAAAGCGUGGGGAGCAAACAGG